UUCUAGUUCUCCCACUGUCAGUUGCCAAUCUUUAUUGACUGCAGCCUGUACACGUUCAACAUUCUCAGGUGUUCUGCU